rnacentral:rRNA from 1 species
GGGUGCUCGAGUGGCGAACGGGUGAGUAACACGUGAGUAACCUGCCCUUGGCUUUGGGAUAACUUCAGGAAACUGGGGCUAAUACCGGAUAGGAACUCCUGCUGCAUGGUGGGGGUUGGAAAGUUUCGGCGGUUGGGGAUGGACUCGCGGCUUAUCAGCUUGUUGGUGGGGUAGUGGCUUACCAAGGCUUUGACGGGUAGCCGGCCUGAGAGGGUGACCGGCCACAUUGGGACUGAGAUACGGCCCAG